AGCUUAUUUGAAUUUAGGCUACCACAUGGACACCAAUCCUAUAGAUAAAACUGGCUCCAGUGGAAGAACCCCAAAUAAGCCUGACAAAUGCACCUGUCUCAGAUCAUUAGCACGAAAAGGUUAUAGGUUCUAAGCUACAAAAUAAAGAAAAUUGCAAUCUAUAUCUUUUACCAUAUGCCCACAUUUGGUCUCCUACGAACCUUAGAGACAUAAACGUUUAUAUGCUGGAUCCUUGUGAUAGUUCUUCAGUUUGAAGAGCCAACACAAUGCCUCCCCAAUAUGCUCCAGCAGAGUAUCUCCUUCAUGGGACCACACACCAAGUUAAGGGCAGAACACGUUCUCACUACAGCUAAAUGCUUUUCAAGAUGCUUCCUCAACUUUCUGUUUUAGUGAAGUGACAUGUUAAUCUGAAUUGAAAACACAUGCCCUUGGGCCAUGUUAAAU
rnacentral:misc_RNA from 1 species